UGUCCUGGAACUAGCUCUUGUAGACCAGGCUGGCUUCGAACUCAGAGAUCCCCCUGCUUCUGCCUUUCGAGUGCUGGGAUUAAAGGUGUGUGCCACCAAUGCCCGGCUCUUUAUGCUUUAGACAUUAAGCAGAACCUCUUUUAAUCCCAAGUACUUUGAACAUUAUGUUUUUUGUUUCUUCUUUUGUUUGUGGUUUUGACUUUUUAAAUAAAGAUUUAUUUUUAUUUUGUGUAUAUGAAUGUUUUGCUUGCAUGUAUAUAUAUGGACUGUGUGUGUGUGUCUGGUGCCAGAAGAGAGCCUCAUUUCUCCUGGACCUGGAGUUAAGAGACAGUUAUUAAAUUGUCAGGUGGGGGCUGGGAACUGAAUCUGGGUCCUCUGCAAAAGUAGCAAGUACUUUUAACUACUGAGCCAUCUCUCUAUCCCGUGUUUUAGUUUCUUUAGAGGGUCUCACCAAAGCUCAGGUUGAGCUGAAAUUUUCUAUGUAGCCCAGGCUGGUCUUGACCUUGAGGCAGUCAUCAGUUUUCCAAGUACUGGGAUUACAGAUAUUUGCUAACAUUAAAGGUAUACAGAAGUGGAACAGACUGUCAUCAAACUUGGAAGAUUAUUGGAAGCCAUUUUGUUCAACCCAAGCCAAAUAUGCGAUUACUCAACAACUAUACUUGUAAAAAAAAGUUGAGUUUGAGCUGUUUUAGCUCCCAUCUAUUUUUAGUCCAUUCUUGAAAGAACAUGCUAUUCCAUGCAUCAACCUUCAGUUAUUUAAAAAUAAAUGUUAUAUCUUUAGCCUUC